CACCUUGACUAUAAAUUCACAAUGACAACCUUGACCAAUUGUGUAGGAUAGGUGGGAGGUGGUAACACACAAGGACCAAUCAUGUAAGACCACUCUUUCAUCUAGGGAUGCCUAAUCGCCUUAACAAUCAUUCAGGGAGUGGGGGCACUGUGAUGUGAGUAGUUUAUUUGGAUCGAAUGCCUCCUAAAUAGUAAUGUAGGUGUCAUGCACAUUUCACACUCAAGCUUCG
rfam:Triticum urartu cultivar G1812 contig331420, whole genome shotgun sequence.